GAAAUGCGUUAAGUAGUGUGAAUUGCAGAAUUCAGUGAAUCAUCGAAUCUUUGAACGCACAUUGCGCCCUUUGGUAUUCCUUAGGGCAUGCCUGUUCGAGCGUCAUUUAAACCUUCAAGCUCAGCUUGGUGAUGGGUGACUGUCCUCCCCUCGCGGGGGGGACUCGCCUCAAAAACAUUGGCGGCCGGUACAUUGGCUUCGAGCGCAGCAGAAACGCGGUCUCGAGUCCGGUGGAUCGGCUCCCAUAAGCCUUCUUUUUUAUUUUGACCUCGGAUCAGGUAGGGAUACCCGCUGAACUUGAGA
rnacentral:misc_RNA from 1 species